UUUCCGCUGCAGGAACAAAACCAAGAAUUGGUUCUGAUGAUAGAGGCAAUGCUAUAUUAGGUUUAAUGCAAAACUUGUUUGUUGAAGGAUUGGGUCCACAAUGGAUAAGGCCUGCACCACCGACGCUCCCAGUGUUAGAUGGAGAACUUAUAUGGCUCAAUCCUGACAGCAAUCACGAGCUUUUGUGGGAUUAUGGCAUGUGUGCUGACACCAGUCGAGGGGCUGCAGUGAGAGAUUUGAUUGAUAAAGCAUAAAAGGCCCACUUGCACCUGCCCAACAAGAGCAAUUUGUGUUAGAACUUGCAAAGGAUGCGAAACUCAUCUAUCAUUGUGGACUUACUCCUU